AUAGGGCCCAAGCGCGCUGUGGACACAGGUCAGUGGCCAAGGGUCAGGACGGCACUGGGCGUCACUGCUUGGGACGUGACUGGCCACAGCCCCGGGGCCUCCAGCACGGAUGUGCACGCACCGUCAGCUUCCCUGGCCCAGAGACCGUGUGGCCGCUGCAAGUGGCAGGACACACGUGGGUCUGCCGUGGUCGCCCCGGACACCAGCCCCGGAGCCUCCGCUCGCGCCCAACCCGCUGAGCGGCCGCACGCCAGCCCCACCGCGACCGUCAGACUCACAUCAUCACUAGUGCAGCUGGGACCGGACCUCCGAUCGCCCAGGACGUCCACCAGCUCUGGAUCAAAUGGGGCAGUGCAGUCGUCCGUGUGAACAGUACCCGAGCGCCGGUGGGGCCGGGGCGGCCCGACUCGCUGGGUAGAGCGCCCGCUAGAAUCGGCGUCUCCCGCUCUGAGACACUGUGCGACCCGCCAGGCAACAGGCGCCCUGGCUUGGCAGCCGGGAAAGCGCUCCAGGAGCACUGCUCUGUCUCGGUGGAGCCCGGUCAGACCCAGUUACUGGGAGACACCGGCCCCAGGGCUGGGCCUGCCUGGGACCUUCCCUCCACAGUGGCAAAGAGGCUGCGGUGCUCCUGAGAUGUUCCCAGCCGACUCCGUGGCCAGCCGUCCAGAGCCACCCGCCCCUCAUGCUUGGACCUCAGCGGUGGCCCACGUGGGGCAGUGGGCCCUCCCAGUUCCUCCCCUGGCAGCCUGGACGCGUGUCACAUGAGCGGGCCUGUAAAGGGCCCGUGACACCAGCCGGACCUGGCUGUCGGCCCUCCCUGCAACUCUCCCUCAGCCCGUGGGGAAGACAGUGCUCAUGCGGGAACUGGAGGGCUCGCCCGGCCCACGGGGGUUGCAGGCGUCCCCUGUGGCAAGGCCUCGAGGCUGUGUUUCCUGCGUGGACUCGGGCCAGGAGGGCCUGCGCGGGUGCUGCGGGGUCAGCGCUAGCAGCGGCCGAAGCCCGUCUCCGGCUCUCCAGGGGCCUUGUGCUCUCCCCUGCAUACUUGUGCGGGUUCAUGGUUUCCCGAGCCCGAUGGGGUGGGAGCUCGGCCUGCGGGAGGCGGGCAGGACUCCGGACGCGCUCGCCGCGGCCCUGCUCACAGCUCUGGGUGCUGGUCUCGCGUCUCAGCCCGCAGUCGGGGCCAGUGCGGGACACGGGAAGGGAAACAUGACGGUGACAGAAACUGCGCCAGCGCACAGCCGGGUGGCGAGCUUGGGGAUGAGAUGGGCCUCUGCCUGUUGGGGUAUGUGACGCGCAUUCCAGGAGAUGCUCUAGGAACGAACCAGGCCAAACUGAUCUCAACGGUACGUCCUGUGUCAUCCAGUGUAGCCAGAAUGUGCCACUGCCGCGCGUCACGGACCUGAGGAGCCGCAGGGUGAGCCCCCUCCAGCCGUCGAGCUCUUCCGUCCCACGGCAGCGGCCGGUCUCCGCUCACCGCUGAGUUCUUGCUGGAAAUCGCCGAUCCUGCUGGGAUGUCCCGGAACGCCGGAAAGGACAUUCCUUUGCCGAAGUUAUUCCAAACAUCCUUCGACCUCCUCGUAACCGAGCCGCCAUUAAAAUUCAGAUCUAACUUACGGGGGCGCGCGGGGGGCUCCAUCACUGGGCGCCUGCCUUCGGCUCAGGUCGUGAUCCCGGGGCCCUGGGAUCGAGCCCUGCACGGGCUCCCUGCUUGGGGGGGAGCCUGCUUCCCCCUCGCCAGCUCCCCCUGCUUGUGCCCCACCUCUCGCUGUCUCUGUCAUUGAUAAUUAAAAAAUCUUUUAAAAAGUCGAACUGAAUUAAGGUUGAAUUAAAGCAGCUGCGGCUGCCAGGCGGCCCCGGGUGUUAAAGGCCGUGUCGCCGACCCCUGCAGGCAGCCCGCCUGGGUUAGUGGCCAUGAGGUGACACUAUUGCCAUUCUGAGGGACAAGCAAGGGCCCCAAGACCACACGAGCUGGGGUACCCAGUGCGGCCGGCCACCCUAGGAGACCCACUCAGUGGGGUUCCAGAGGACCUGACAAGUCCUGCAGAGAGAGGUGAGGCAGGAGCCCCAGGAGCCCCGAUUCUGCCCUUCUUCCUUCAUCUCCUCUGCUUCUGCGGCAAGUCCAUGCCCCCCACCCCAGGCCUCUGCACCCAGACAAGGAAAGCA